rnacentral:lncRNA from 1 species
GGUUCUCCCGCUACCACCCGCAAACGCUGCGUUUGCGGGCGGUUGCGGUUGGUAGCGUUUAAAACCAAUCAUAAAAAACGUUUUAUACCGCUCCGAACCGCUCUAGACCGCUCCGAACCGCUGAAUUCAAAAGCUCCUUCCCGCAAGCGUUUGCGGUUGCGGGCGGUAGCGGUUGGCAAAAUUUUUUUUUUUAAAAUUCAAAUCCUAUAUAUAUUAAAAAAAUACAUAAAUAACAAAUAAAUUAUAAAAAUUUAUCAAACCCUAUAUAUAUUAACGUUAAUUCUCAAAACCCUAAUUUUUUCUAUUUACCAAAAUCAUGGUGUCAAUCUAAACUCAAAAAUGAUAAAAUACAAAUUAAGUAUUGUAAUAAAAUUAUUAAUCCA